rnacentral:lncRNA from 1 species
GAAGUUCUUCAUGUCAAUAGGCUCAGUGAUUUACUUGAGUUUUUUAUCCAGUGAAUGCAUUAAAAUUUCUGCAGCCAAAGAGGAAAUUGUAGCUCACUGGAAAUCACCUAAAAUCUCUAGAAGGAGGGCAAGAGGGGAAGGGGUCCACCCUGCAUCUGUGCUUUUCUUCUUUCCCAGGGACAGCCUGGAGUUAUUCCACAUGGCCAGAGGUGCACUAAGGCACAUUUCUGAGGUGUCCCACUCGCAGGCCUGUGAGAAGGAUCACUCUAUGAAAGUUUCACCCGGUUGUGGUCACACCUCACAAUGACCUUGGCACUGCGCCCUGCCUGCCUGGAACUCCUCUUGGCUGCCUCCCAGACACAGAGUGAAGAGCUGUGGUCAUUGGGAGGCCCUGGUCUCUUCCUUCCAUUUCCUUGGCCAUGUGCGUAAACCAUCAGUUUGUAUCAUUCAUCUUGUAAUUGAAACUCCCUUGGGUUAAAUUCACAGACAGGCUCCGAGCCUCCCUCAACAGGACAUUCUUUCAGAUCCUUUGAAAGAACAGGUGAGUCUCCUUGAUCUCUAAGUCUUGUAUCAUUGCAGAGGUUCUUUGAUCCUCAAAGCUGUUUUCAGACGGCCAGCUGGGGACUGGAGGGCAGAUGCUGGAGCCCCUGACACCUUCCUGGGACAGGUGGGCCUCUAAGGGAG